GACGAACGCUGGCGGCGUGCUUAACACAUGCAAGUCGAACGGAAAGGCCCUGCUUUUGUGGGGUGCUCGAGUGGCGAACGGGUGAGUAACACGUGAGUAACCUGCCCUUGACUUUGGGAUAACUUCAGGAAACUGGGGCUAAUACCGGAUAGGAGCUCUUGCUGCAUGGUGUGGGUUGGAAAGUUUCGGCGGUUGGGUAUGGACUCGAGGCUUAUCAGCUUGUUGGUGGGGUAGUGGAUUACCAAGGUUUUGACGGGUAGCCGGCCUGAGAGGGGUGACGGGCACCAUGGGACUGAGAGACGGACCAGACUCCUACGGGAGGCAGCAGUGGGGAAUAUGGCACAAUGGGGGGAAGCCUGAUGCAGCAACGCCGCGUGCGGGAUGACGGCUUUCGGGUUGUAAACCGCUUUCGCCGGUGACGAAGCGUGAGUGACGGUAAUGGGUAAAGAAGCACCGGCUAACUACGUG
rnacentral:rRNA from 1 species